rnacentral:rRNA from 1 species
AGUCUCAGUACGAGCUGACUUAAAGUGAAACCGCAAAAGGCUCAGUAAACCGGUCAUAGUUUACCGGAUAUAUGCCACUCACGUGGAUAACUGUGGUAAUUCUAGAGCUAAUACAUGCAACCAAGUCCCGACCAGCGAUGGAAAGGACGCUUUUAUUGGAUCAAAACCAUUCGCCCGGCUCGCCCGGGCGUCUGCUUGAUGACUCUAGAUAACACCGCAGAUCGCACGGUCACAGUACCGGCGACGUAUCCGUCAAAUGUCUGACUUAUCAGCUGUCGAUGGUAGACUCUGUGUCUACCAUGGCGCUCACGGGUAACGGGGAAUCAGGGUUCGAUUCCGGAGAGGGAGCCUGAGAAACGGCUACCACAUCCAAGGAAGGCAGCAGGCACGCAAAUUACCCACUCCCGGCACGGGGAGGUAGUGACAAAAAAUAACGAUACGGGACUCAUCCGAGGCCCCGUAAUCGGAAUGAGAACACCCUAAAUCCUUUAACGAGGAUCUAUUGGAGGGCAAGUCUGGUGCCAGCAGCCGCGGUAAUUCCAGCUCCAAUAGCGUAUAUUAAAGUUGUUGCGGUUAAAAAGCUCGUAGUUGGUUCUGCGUGCCACGCUGUCGGUUCACCGCCUGUCGGUGCAACUGGCAUGCCGUGGCAUGUCCUGUCGGUGGCCGACGGGCUCCGCGGCGCGCCCCACUCGCUCACGCGUGUGGGUCGACGCGCCGUGUUGUCCUCGUUGGCCGGCUCAAUCCUACCGCGGUGCUCUUAAACGAGUGUCGAGGUAGGCCGACACUGUUUACUUUGAACAAAUUAGAGUGCUUCAAGCAGGCUCUGAAAGCAGCCUGAAUAGUGGUGCAUGGAAUAAUGGAACAGGACCUUGGUUCUAUUUUGUUGGUUUCCGGAAUCCAAGGUAAUGAUCAAUAAGGACAGGCGGGGGCAUUCGUAUUGCGACGUUAGAGGUGAAAUUCUUGG